AAGCACCACGGCCGUAGUGGAUGACACUGGCAGGCAAAUUUCAUGAAUAUUAUUUUAUUUGUGUAUUACAUAGGUCUUGGCAACAUCUCUGUUUAGAGACAUCUCGUGUGGCAUGUCAGGAUCUGCGUAUGAUGCUGCAGUGUUCCGGUCUUCAGGAUUGUAUAUGCAUCAACACGCACUUCUGCAGGCAAUAAAGCAUAUAGGGGAUCAGGGUGUACCCUUAUAUCUAGUUGGUGAUGCUGUGUACCCCCUACUUCCCUGGCUUAUGAAACCCUAUCCGUCCAGACAUCUGACAGCUGCGGAGGAAGCAUUCAACACCACGCUUGGGCGAGUACGGGUAGUGGUUGAACAGGCUUUUGGGCACUUGAAAGGGAGGUGGCGGAUACUGCUGAAACGGUCUGAAGUGCAACAUAAGUUUGUUCCCAAAAUUGCCACUGCCUGCUGUAUCCUGCACAACCUGUCAAGAACAAAAUGAGGUGUUCAGAAAUUAGUGGCUGACACCGGCAAGACAAACGCGGAGAAGGUUACCUCAGCCGCCAGUUUUAACUGGACACCAGCUAUUUCAAUACAUUCACUUGAAAAUGUAUUUUGUCUGUAUUUAUUUACAUACACUAUUUUAUUGUUGUGGGAUACGUCCUCCUCCCCUGGUACGAGGGCCUUUCUAUGGAGGGUGACCUGGACAAAAUGAUAAUCGCAAUAGUCUACCGGAAGCCAUAAUAGUAGUACAGUAUUUCAUGUUAGAUUUCGAAAUGUCACAUUUUUAAAUUUUUGUCCGUAUAUGGAAAACUACAAAGCAGUAUGUAAUUCAAUAUGUUAACGUAACAUUAUUCAGCAGGUUUAAUUCGACUUUAUGAAGCAAAAUGUGUUAAUUCUAUAGCGGGAUGCAAAACUUUUGGCCAUAGCUGUAUGUCAAUGCGUAAGGUUUAAACAUUCAUAAAAUGUAACCAAAAUGCAUGUCUCCAUAUAAGCUUAUUAAAUAGCUAAUAUUAAAACAUGUUUUCAUAUCUUACAUGAAUAUAGAUUCAUAUUCAUUAGCCAAGGUGUAUUCUUUAAUUUUUUUUUACGAAAACACCCAGAUUGAAAUAUACAAAUAUAUUUUUUUUUUUUUGUCAAAUAAGUAGCCCUAAAGACGAGACAUGAAAAAGAAGACCACGGUAUCAAGCAUCCAGUAAACGGCACUGCUGGCAAAGCAACAUUGAUAACGGGACCAGUUUGUCUUUCCUUGCGAUGUACAGUAGUUACGAGUUCUCUUAAAGUAAGGUGUUGG